GCAAGCUAUUUGUAUAGAAACAAUAUAGAUCUUUUUCCUCUUGCAGUUUCCUAGUACCAGUUAUUUUGUGCUGAUUACAUGCAUGACAUCAUCCAUCAUGCUGCCUGUGAAUGCUGGUUUCCAGUGAUUCUCUCAGAGGUUGUUAUGGUGCUUCCUUGAUGACCACAAGUGCACCUGUUACCCAGGGCAUGCAGGAAAAUGUGAGCAACAAUCUGAUUUUCUGCUCAUGUUAAAUUUAUUGUUCAGACUUUUGUACCACAAAUGUAAAUUAACACAUAUUCCAAUCAUGUCUUCUUUUGAAUUCUCGAGGCUAUAAUCAUUGCACUCCUAGAAUGGCAUCUCUUUUAAUGUUGGACACACUCCUGCCUCCCACAGUGCUUUCUGUAGGGAAGAGAGGAAAGGAACCUCUAGGCUUGGCAGGAAAAGUAUAAUCCCAUUCAUCCAAGAAAUAUCUAUCAUCUCUCAGACCUUAAGACCAACCUGGGAGAGUACAGCAUCACCAUAUCAAUCAAAUAGAGGCAACGCUGUGCAGCAACAGCCUCAGAAACUCUCAGAAGAAACAGGACUGGGGUCACCCCAGAGGACUUCCUGACAUGUGUUAUCCUAGCGUGUAAAAGGUGUGGCAUGACCAUCUUCGGUGCCCAUGGCCUGGGGCUGGUAGUAAAAGAUUCUGUUAAUACUCUCAUUACUCUUGGGUGCUAGAGACCAGAGAUGGCACUGCAAGGUAACAAGUGAAAAUGCACAAGCCCAUGUAUAUCACACUGCUUCCCUCCUGGAACAGGGGCCCAUCCACAGGGCCCCAGAACAACCCCACAGAAGCAUGAUUCAGAGUUCCUUGGGGCAACUGGUUGACCACGUAUGUCAGGUAGAGUUGCAGGGAACACUCUGAAGAAGCAAAACGAGGACCAGGAACCAUGUGGGCUGGGGUGGCCUGUCUGGAUGCCACUGAAAGAGCUGCCAGUCCCAGGUACUGGAGAGGACUUAGAAAAUGUCGAGGAGUGGGCCAAAUGUAGCAGCUCAUGCCUGUAAUCCCAGCACUUUGGGAGGCUGAGGCAGGGGGAUCACUUGAGCUCAGGAGUUUGAGACCAGCCCAGGCAACAUAGUGAGACCUUGUCUCUACAAGAAAUGAAAAAUUAGUUGGGCAUGGUGACAUAUGCUGUAGUCGGAGCUACUUGAGAGGCUGGGACAGGAGGAUCACUUGAGCCCAGGAGAUUGUGGCUGCAGUGAGCUAUAAUUGCGCCACUCCACUCCAGCCUGGGUGACAGAGUGAGACCUUAUCUCAAAAAAAAAA
rnacentral:lncRNA from 1 species